CAGUCGCCGCGGUAAUACGUAGGGCGCAAGCGUUGUCCGGAAUUAUUGGGCGUAAAGAGCUCGUAGGCGGUCUGUCGCGUCUGGUGUGAAAUCCCGAGGCUCAACCUCGGGCUUGCAUCGGGUACGGGCAGACUAGAGUGCGGUAGGGGUGACUGGAAUUCCUGGUGUAGCGGUGGAAUGCGCAGAUAUCAGGAGGAACACCGAUGGCGAAGGCAGGUCUCUGGGCCGCAACUGACGCUGAGGAGCGAAAGCAUGGGGAGCGAACAGGAUUAGAUACCCCCGUAGUCCCUGUCUCUUAUAC
rnacentral:rRNA from 1 species